CUGAUGCCGAGCCACAGCUGGACUGU
rnacentral:piRNA from 1 species